AGUACAUAAUGUGAAAGCAUGUUAGGCCCAGAGCUCAGACGUGGGAGUCUGCGAGAGAAUGGCAGCUCCAAGAUGAAGGCAGGAAUGUGAGAUGCCAGCUCCUUCAGGAUUGAACAGCUUUAUAUAAACUAACAGAGAGGGCAAGUUUAUGAAGUGGAGACAGGAUCUAAUUCUGUACUCAGAAUCUGCCAUCUGCUGAUCCCAAGGUUUUAUAUGAGGUGCAAGGUGCCCAUACUGGAGGCCUGAGCUCAGCCUUUUGGGGUCAUGACAGCCAUGAACCAGAGCAAGCUCCAGUUUGAUGGAUGAGGCUGACUUCUGUUGGACUUUGCAGCACAGGU